GUUAGAUGUAUGGUAUGCUGCAGGUGAAGUUCUCUGAUUCAGUACAACUACAUCUGAAACAAAACAACAUGACCUGAACAGCACUGAGAACACACAAUAUUUAUGAAGGCAUGGAAGAGGGAUGACUCCUCAUCUCAAAUUCUACCAACAGCAGAAGUAAGACAUCUGUAAUCCAUGGUUCUCACAAGAUGUGUGGAUUUCAGGGAUUUGCCACAGGCCUGUGUGGGAGAGAAUCUGAAGAAGCUCAGCCAGUUCCUCCACCCUGCCACCUCCAGAAGUAGACUUCAAACCCUGCAAAUCUCGAGAAUUCCUCCUUUCAAUUUAUUUUCAUGCUCAAAUAAAUUGGUUAGUCUCUAAGGUGCCACAAGUACUCCUUUUCCUUUCAGAGAGUGCAGAUUCCUCUCUGUGCAUGGACCCAGAGGGGAACAUGGGGCUUUGAGGAGGAUUUUUGAGGAGGGUGUUUCAAAGGUACAAAUUGUGAAUAUGAAAUUGGCCUUCAAUGCAUUUGGCAGGAUACACAGUAGAAUGACAAGCACAUGACACAAUUUACUUUGAAGUAGGCUUCAGAAAUACCCAAUGCUUUAAAAGAUGGGAAAAAUUAGAACGUCUCUUUAAAAAUACUUUAAUCAGCCCUUUAAAAGUAAUCUGUGUCCCUUUAGCAUUUUUGCACAGCAAGUCAUAGAACACAUAGCCUUGUAUUGGGAUCUUAAAGCAUUCCAACAGUGAAAUGCAAAUCCAGUGAUAUUACAGCUAAUCCAAAUGCCUUUAUCAAUAUAAAGAAUCCAAUUAUGACAUCCUUAAAUGUGUUAGAAAUUUAAAGGCAAACUAAUGCUGCAUGCAGACCACUUCUUAAAUUUCCAUUUGUAAUCACAAAUAUGUUUGCUAUUAUAUCCACUCAUCAUAAAGGCCAAGUAUUUAAAAAAUUGCUACAAACACACUGAAGACUACAGUAUUUCUUAAGUAAUAUGUGCAACCGCACAAUAUAGAUGUUUCACUGGAAAUGGUACAUAAUAAAUGAUAGCAUAUUUAUCUGGUUUUGUUUGUCCUUUGAAAACACGUUUUCUUUUGACUAAAGAAGAUGGAUAGUCAGAAUAAGAUAUUGGAUAACUAAGCUUGGAUAUCAUAGGACAAGGAAUAUUUGACAUCUUAGUGGUAAUUUUUAAUCAGAAGACCUGUUCAAAAAAGAAAUGAAUACAUAAUAAAAUGAUUCCACAAGAGAAAAAUGCAUGUCUUCAGUUUCACCCAUAACAUUA